UUUAGCAUUGGAUCCGUAGGAUGAUUAGAAUCUUUCCCCUUUUGGGUGAUGCUCAAAAAAAAAAAUUGCCGGGCCGACAGGUCCGAGCCCGAGGCACGACGGGACCGUGCGACGCUGGUCCCACCCGGCGUGAUAAGUCUCAUCAUUGGCCGCGAAUCAGAUACGGAGGCAAGUAGUAAAAGUCAACGCCAUUUCCGAAUACGGAGGCAGGAUACGGGGCUGGCUGCACAGAUAAAAGGACGCCCGCUGGGAGGGAGGGCUCUGUUUCUUGUCUGUCCCUGCGUUUCGACCUCGCUGCCCGUCCACUUUCGACCUUCGCAACCGCGCCUUCGCCGCUCGGCGCCUCUCCGGCCUACCCACCUCCCGUCAGAGUUUUGGUCCUAAUCCUCAAAGGAAACCAAUAUCGUGGGUUGCUCCCCCCAGAUCUCUGCCUCCGCGGCGAGUGGGGAAUAAGAGGAGCCGCCGCCGCCGGCCGGCACCUCCGCUCCGCAGCACUGGAAUGGGGAACUAUCUGACGAGUAGAAUAACGGCAGAGAAGCAUGCCCAUGUCAAGCAGACAUCCAAGAAUCGCAAUGGGAGGCCUGGCCUUAAAUUUCAUGACCUUCCAGAGGUGAAUGAGACCAAAUUACGUCUCAUCUAGAUGAGUUCUAGGUACUCCCUUAUCGAAAUUACCUGCAAAAGAGGCUGUUCGGACCAGUGUUUUGUCGACUGACUGGAGAUGUACAUGGACAGCUUGCCCCAGACUAAGCUUUGGUGUCGAUGAUGUAAGUAAGAAUGCGAAAAGGAAACACCAGCACACCCAGAUGUUUAUCGACCGUGUUAAUGCGGUUUUGACCAAGCACAGCGGCAGGGCUCUUGACCAACUUGAGAUUAAAUUUAUAUUCGAGGCCAAGCUUGUUGAUCACCUCAAUAAUUGGAUUAGAUUUGCUAUGUCAGCCCACACAAAGAGUCUAGCUUUUGAUUUGGCGCCACCGGACAAUUUUCCCAAAUAUGGGGAUCAUUACAGAUUCCCAUUUGAACAAUUUACAGACAAGAAAAGUGUAUCCUGUCUAGCGUGUCUUCAACUCAGCUUUGUAUGUUUCGAACCACCUCCUGCCAAUUUCAUAGGUUUCCCAAACCUAAGAAAGCUUCAUCUCCAUGUACUCAAGACCACUAGGCAGGAUCUUGAGAGUAUCUUGUGCAGUUGUGUUAAUCUUGAAUGGCUGAGCUUACUCAGAUGCCAUCUCAAGGAUCAAAUGAAGGUGGUUCGGCGGCCAUUGUCCCACCUGCACUACUUGAAAGUCGUGCACUGUGAUAUAACCAAGAUAGAGUUCAAUGCUCCAAUGCUCUCCACCUUUGUUUAUGAUGGACCAUACAUACCUAUUACCCUCCAUCAUGCUGCGAAGCUGGAAAAUGCAACAAUUAGGUUCCUCGGCGCAGUUUUUCAGCAUUGUAUCGCGUCACUCCUCAAUGGGCUACCAGAUGUACACAACCUGACACUGCAUCUUGGAAUGCAAGAGCUUGAGGCCCGGUGGAUGUUAAAUAGCCCUCGUGUGUUUUCUCACCUUAGGCAUGUGCAAAUACUGUUGAUUAUACAUUAUGAAGAAUAUGACAAAAUCCUCUACUUAGUUUCUUUUUGAAGGGUUGCUCCGUUCAUUGAAAAGUUGGAAGUACAUUUUCAUGAUAUUGGCACUUUGCGGUUUGCAUCCGAUGGACCUUUGAGACAAGAAAUGCCACCGUGUGAAGAUAAAUUUGUUAAUCUGAAGGACGUUCGAGCUACAGGAUUCAGAGGGGCACGCGGCCAAGCUGAAUUCCUUAUGCACGUGGUUGAAAAUGCUCCUGCAAUAGAGGUCGUGACUGUAGAUACAGCUCAAAGGCUAACUGAUGCUUGGGAUCCAGAUGAACCAAUUCCUAGACUAGAUAGUGCUGCUCUUGAUAUGGUUAGAGCUCCCCUCCUUAAGACACUCCCACCGAAUGCAAAACUUUCACUUAUUUAAGGCAGACUUGCAUCUGUUGCAUAUAUGUAGCUUCCGAAAGUAGAGUAAAUCUGGCAUGUAAUUUCUCUUUAAUUGUUAAAUUAGUUAUCAUCAA